GUUUGGAGCAGGUUUUGAACCAGUAGGUCAUAUGGUGUGGAUGGUAUUGAAAAAUUACAGUAAUAUUUACACAAAAAUAUUAUAGAAAAAUAUGCAACAUGACUAUUUCCUCAGAAAAAAGGUUGUGCCCUGUGAAGGAGAUGUAGACACACAGUUUGGAGCAGGUUUUGAACAAGUAGGUCAUAUGGUUUGGACGCUAUGGAAUUAUUAAUUUCUUGAAAUUCCAAAUAAUUUGUCGACGGUCCCUAAAUCAACGUCUUUAUGUGCCAAGUGGUCUCUUUCUGUGUCCGCGUAGCGAACACGAACCGCGGAUCGCUUGUUCAAACACGGACCGCUUGUCUGGAGGAAGAACGGGUCAGAACCGGAAAGGAACCCUUCCUUCUGCAUUGAAGGAUGCCAGAACGCCACCUCACUUGAUCUCUCUUGUUAAGGAAAAUACGGUAAUGAGCUGCUGUGGCGACCAGGAACAGCGAUACUGGAUCAGCAUCACUGGAACAGCGUCACUGGGAGGCCUGGUGCCCGAGGUGAUGCACAGCAGUUACAUUGUGGUUUGCCACUUGAUUCAAACAGAUCCCCGAUUCUAAAAAUAGGUUGAGAAAACAGUGAGAAGUGUGAAAUCAACAGAGGCCUCGACAUCUAAAAGGUGAAUUCUGCAAUAAGUAAAAAUAAAAGAAUAAUAUAAAUAACUUCUUUCUCUUUCAGCUUUUCCCAUCAGGGAUCGCCACGAUGAACCAUCCUUCUCAACCUCACUAUUUUUGGCUUCUUCUACACUCACACCAGCCAACCUCAUGUCCUCCUUGGUCGUCCUCUUUCCUGGCAGCUCCAUCUCUAACACCCUUCUACCACUAUAUUCACUGUCCCUCCUCUGCACAUGUCCAAACCAUCUCACCUCUCCCUUGGUUUACCACCCCCCCUUCUUCUGUCAUUGACCUUUAGCUCACAUCUCCCUCUUCCUGUGCUUUUCUGUUCACAAUGAAUAACCUUGUAUCGUUUCUCUGGAGCCUUUUAAAUUGAUUUCUGCCCAGCAUUUCGCUCCAUUUCAAGCGUAUCCUUGUUCAUUGGGUUGACACUUGACAGAAGUCACAUGCUACAGUUUCAAGCUUUGAUUCCUUUAAAGCACUUAAAAAAUUGAAGCAUAGGACUUUCAGGAUAAUAGAAGUAGUUAAUCAGGAGUUGUUGUUUUUUUUUUUAUUAACGAUGGGGUCUGCACAGCAUUAUGGCAGAAGAUGGUGGUGCCGUCCUUUAAAUCAGUUCAUCCAGGUGUGAGUCUGUCGCUAACCUGAGGUGUGGGCUGGUGAAAUCAGCCACUCCAGCACAAAGACAACAGAUGAACAUUUAAACCCUUGGAUUUUAUUUUAUUUGGAUUCUAAAAACUAUACUGAUAUGAUUGACAACGUAACCCGGCUCAGAAGGUCAUUUCUAAUAAAAAAUAAAAAAUAAAUAAAAAGUAUGACAUUAUUGUAAUUAAUCUCACCGAUUGCUGUAGAGUGACCACAGAGAGAUGAGUGAGCUACAGCGAAAAGAUGAGCUGGGUCAGACCUCGGGUGCGAACCACAGUCCCAACGUCACAUUGGCCCAAUCUGCUGCUCACGGGAAGAUUAUUAUGAGGUCAAGUAAGUUGACCACUUCGAUGGUGCGCGCGCUUCUAUUUUGAAUCGUGUUAGUUAUUCAGUAUAAACAGGAACAGUGAUUAAAGGCUCGUAGGACACAGACUCUGUGUCCGAAGAGGUCACAUUGACGAAUACAAGUUUUAGAAAAUGUUACAGACCAAAUCAUUUGAUAAAUUAUCAUCCCUUUUUAAAAGUACACUACAGAGUUUUAUGAUAGAUUUUACCCCCCCCCCCCCAUUUAGGCAGCUUCCUAUAGAUGGUUAAAGUUGGCAGCA